GCCCCUGACUCUGGGAUAAGCGCUGGAAACGGCGUCUAAUACUGGAUAUGUGACGUGACCGCAUGGUCUGCGUUUGGAAAGAUUUUUCGGUUGGGGAUGGGCUCGCGGCCUAUCAGCUUGUUGGUGAGGUAAUGGCUCACCAAGGCGUCGACGGGUAGCCGGCCUGAGAGGGUGACCGGCCACACUGGGACUGAGACACGGCCCAGACUCCUACGGGAGGCAGCAGUGGGGAAUAUUGCACAAUGGGCGAAAGCCUGAUGCAGCAACGCCGCGUGAGGGAUGACGGCCUUCGGGUUGUAAACCUCUUUUAGCAGGGAAGAAGCGAAAGUGACGGUACCUGCAGAAAAAGCGCCGGCUAACUACGUGCCAGCAGCCGCGGUAAUACGUAGGGCGCAAGCGUUAUCCGGAAUUAUUGGGCGUAAAGAGCUCGUAGGCGGUUUGUCGCGUCUGCUGUGAAAUCCCGAGGCUCAACCUCGGGCCUGCAGUGGGUACGGGCAGACUAGAGUGCGGUAGGGGAGAUUGGAAUUCCUGGUGUAGCGGUGGAAUGCGCAGAUAUCAGGAGGAACACCGAUGGCGAAGGCAGAUCUCUGGGCCGUAACUGACGCUGAGGA
rnacentral:rRNA from 1 species